UACGAAGGGGGCUAGCGUUGUUCGGAGUUACUGGGCGUAAAGGGUGCGCAGGCCGCGCGGGCAGUCAAAUGUGUAAUCCAGGGGCUCAACCCCUGAACUGCGCUUGAUACUUCCGCGCUCGAGCUUUGGAGAGGAGUCUGGAAUUCUCGGUGUAGCAGUGAAAUGCGUGGAUAUCGAGAAGAACACUUAGGGCGUAGGCAAGACUCUGGACAAAUGCUGACGCUCAUGCACGAAGGCUAGGGUAGCGAACGGG
rnacentral:rRNA from 1 species